GGGUGCAUAGCUCAGCUGGUAGAGCAGGUAGCUUUUAACUAUCUGGUCGGGGGUUCGAAUCCCUCUGCACCCACCA
rnacentral:tRNA from 1 species